UUCCGGUUGAUCCUGCCGGACCUGACUGCUAUCGGAUUGAUACUAAGCCAUGCGAGUCAUUGUAGUAAUACAAGGCAGACGGCUCAGUAACGCGUAGUCAACCUACCCUAUGGACGAGGAUAAUCUCGGGAAACUGAGAAUAAUACUCGAUAGACCAUUAUGCCUGGAACGGUUUAUGGUUAAAAUGAUUCGUCGCCAUAGGAUGGGACUGCGGCCUAUCAGCUUGUUGGUGAGGUAAUGGCCCACCAAGGCGAUUACAGGUACGGGCUCUGAGAGGAGAAGCCCGGAGAUGGGUACUGAGACAAGGACCCAGGCCCUAUGGGGCGCAGCAGGCGAGAAAACUUUGCAAUGUGCGAAAGCACGACAAGGUUAGUCCGAGUGAUUUCUGCUAAAGAAAUCUUUUGCAAGUUAUAAAACCACUAGUGAAUAAGGGGUGGGCAAGUUCUGGUGUCAGCCGCCGCGGUAAAACCAGCACCUCAAGUGGUCAGGAUGAUUAUUGGGCCUAAAGCAUCCGUAGCCUGCUCUGUUAGUUUUCGGUUAAAUCCAUGUGCUCAACACAUGGGCUGCCGAAAAUACUGCAGGGCUAGGGAGUGGGAGAGGUAGACGGUACUCAGUAGGAAGGGGUAAAAUCCUUUGAUCUAUUGAUGACCACCUGUGGCGAAGGCGGUCUACCAGAACACGUUCGACGGUGAGGGAUGAAAGCUGGGGGAGCAAACCGGAUUAGAUACCCGGGUAGUCCCAGCUGUAAACGAUGCAGACUCGAUGAUGCAUUGGCUUAUUGCCAAUGCAGUGUCGCAGGGAAGCCGUUAAGUCUGCCGCCUGGGAAGUACGUACGCAAGUAUGAAACUUAAAGGAAUUGGCGGGGGAGCACCACAAGGGGUGAAGCCUGCGGUUCAAUUGGAUUCAACGCCGGG
rnacentral:rRNA from 1 species